rnacentral:rRNA from 1 species
AGUGAACGCUGGCGGCAGGCCUAAUACAUGCAGGUCGAACGGCAGCACAGCAGAGCUUGCUCUGUGGGUGGCGAGUGGCGGACGGGUGAGGAAUACAUGGGAAUCUGCCCAGUCGUGGGGGAUAACGUAUGGAAACGUACGCUAAUACCGCAUGCGCCCUUUGGGGGAAAGCCGGGGACCUUCGGGCCUGGCGCGAUUGGAUGAGCCCAUGUUCGAUUAGCUAGUUGGCGGGGUAAAGGCCCACCAAGGCGACGAUCGAUAGCUGGUCUGAGAGGAUGAUCAGCCACACUGGGACUGAGACACGGCCCAGACUCCUACGGGAGGCAGCAGUAGGGAAUAUUGGACAAUGGGCGCAAGCCUGAUCCAGCCAUGCCGCGUGAGUGAAGAAGGCCCUCGGGUUGUAAAGCUCUUUUGUCCGGAAAGAAAAGCAUUCGGUUAAUACCCGGGUGUUCUGACGGUACCGGAAGAAUAAGCACCGGCUAACUUCGUG